CAUUUGUUUGGGCUUUGGGUUUGGAAGCACGAACAGUCGUAACAGGGACGGCGUCCUUGAUGAUCUUCGAGGAAUCGAUCUUCGCCUUUGAUCGAGUAGAACGGCCAGUCUUUGUAGUUUGUGAUGAUUCAGACAUGUUUGAAUGAAGGUUUUUGAGGUUUGAGAAGUUGAAUGGAUGAAGGUUGUGAUGAGAAGCAGUUGAAUAGGGUUCACGAUCAAAAAUUAGGUUUUUAAUGAAAGUGUAUUGAUUGCGUGUACAGACACAAUUAAGGGAAGUUUGUAAUGAUUUCCCUAAAUUAGCGUGCAUUGAAUGAUGGGAGAGAAAACGGUUU
rnacentral:lncRNA from 1 species